rnacentral:rRNA from 1 species
UACGAAGGGGGCUAGCGUUGUUCGGAAUCACUGGGCGUAAAGGGCGCGUAGGCGGCUUUAUAAGUCGGGGGUGAAAGCCUGUGGCUCAACCACAGAAUUGCCUUCGAUACUGUAGGGCUUGAGACCGGAAGAGGUUAGUGGAACUGCGAGUGUAGAGGUGAAAUUCGUAGAUAUUCGCAAGAACACCAGUGGCGAAGGCGGCUAACUGACUCAUACUGGACGCUGAGGUGCGAAAGCGUGGGGAGCAAACAGG